rnacentral:rRNA from 1 species
UACGUAGGGUGCAAGCGUUAAUCGGAAUUACUGGGCGUAAAGCGUGCGCAGGCGGUUAUAUAAGACAGAUGUGAAAUCCCCGGGCUCAACCUGGGAACUGCCUUGGUGACUGUAUAGCUAGAGUACGGCAGAGGGGGAUGGAAUUCCGCGUGUAGCAGUGAAAUGCGUAGAUAUGAGGAGGAACACCGAUGGCGAAGGCAAUACACUGGGCAUGUACUGACGCUCAGGCACGAAAGCGUGGGGAGCAAACAGGAUUAGAUACCCAUGUAGUCC